AUUGAACGCUGGCGGCAUGCCUUACACAUGCAAGUCGAACGGUAACGCGGGGCAACCUGGCGACGAGUGGCGAACGGGUGAGUAAUGUAUCGGAACGUGCCCAGUAGUGGGGGAUAGCCCGGCGAAAGCCGGAUUAAUACCGCAUGAGACCUGAGGGUGAAAGCGGGGGAUCGCAAGACCUCGCGCUAUUGGAGCGGCCGAUAUCAGAUUAGGUAGUUGGUGGGGUAAAAGCCUACCAAGCCGACGAUCUGUAGCUGGUCUGAGAGGACGACCAGCCACACUGGGACUGAGACACGGCCCAGACUCCUACGGGAGGCAGCAGUGGGGAAUUUUGGACAAUGGCGCAAGCCUGAUCCAGCCAUGCCGCGUGCGGGAAGAAGGCCUUCGGGUUGUAAACCGCUUUUGUCAGGGAAGAAUCUUCUGAGCUAAUACCUCGGGAGGAUGACGGUACCUGAAGAAUAAGCACCGGCUAACUACGUGCCAGCAGCCGCGGUAAAAUCUACG
rnacentral:rRNA from 1 species